rnacentral:rRNA from 1 species
AUACGUAGGGGGCGAGCGUUGUCCGGAAUGAUUGGGCGUAAAGGGCGCGUAGGCGGCCCGGUAAGUCUGGAGUGAAAGUCCUGUUUUUAAGAUGGGAAUUGCUUUGGAUACUGUCGGGCUUGAGUGCAGGAGAGGUAAGUGGAAUUCCCAGUGUAGCGGUGAAAUGCGUAGAGAUUGGGAGGAACACCAGUGGCGAAGGCGACUUACUGGACUGUAACUGACGCUGAGGCACGAAAGCGUGGGGAGCAAACAGGAUUAGAUACCCUGGUAGUCCACGCUGUAAACGAUGAAUACUAGGUGUGGGGGGACUGACCCCCCUCCGUGCCGCAGUUAACACAAUAAGUAUUCCACCUGGGGAGUACGAUCACAAGAUUGAAACUCAAAGGAAUUGACGGGG